UAAAUGAUAAUUGUGAAGACAACCUCCACUUGCAUGGUGUGUGCCCCUUUUUGACCUGUGACUGCAUAUAGAGAGAUUCCCAGUUCUCCUUCAAAAUUGGCUACUAGUUCUACUUCAUCUGAAUCUGCCAACUCAAGCUAGAAAAGCUUUUUACAUUGAUGACCUAUGGAGUAUGCCUCAUCAUAAUUGUAGAACAGGCCCUUUGCUCUUCGUCGC
rnacentral:lncRNA from 1 species